rnacentral:rRNA from 1 species
GCAAAACGCGAAGAACCUUACCAAGGCUUGACAUAUAGAAGAACACUGCAGAGAUGCAGGGCUCUUUGGACACUUCUAUACAGGUGGUGCAUGGUUGUCGUCAGCUCGUGUCGUGAGAUGUUCGGUUAAGUCCGGCAACGAGCGCAACCCUCGUCCUAUGUUGCCAGCACGUAAUGGUGGGAACUCAUGGGAUACUGCCGUGGUCAACACGGAGGAAGGUGGGAUGACGUCAAAUCAUCAUGCCCCUUAUGUCUUGGGCUUCACGCAUGCUACAAUGGCCGGUACAAAGGGCUGCGAUACCGCAAGGUGGAGCGAAUCCCAAAAAGCCGGUACUCAGUUCGGAUUGGGGUCUGCAACUCGACCCCAUGAAGUCGGAGUCGCUAGUAAUCGCAGAUCAGCAACGCUGC